GCGGGAGUAGCUCAGCCAGGUAGAGCGUGGGCCAACGAGCUCUGAGCCGCCGGUUCGAAUCCGGCCUCCCGCU
rnacentral:tRNA from 2 species